AUGGUCAGGAUCUUGGCGAUAUAGGGGAUCAACGGCAGGUUCAGGAUUAGCAGAACCAGAUUGCCGAUAUACAUUGAGAUGAUGACCGCCCAGAACACGUCAGGCGUAUCGGUCAUCAGCCGUGGCCC
rfam:Rhodobacteraceae bacterium HL-91 ITZX_scaf_233, whole genome shotgun sequence.